UCGGAUGUAGUGCACGGCGCACACCCGCUUUCCAUUCGCAAGAAAGAAUACAGCAGCGGGAAACCCGGGUUCAACUCCCGGCGUCCGAA